GACGUAGGGUGCGAGCGUUGUCCGGAUUUAUUGGGCGUAAAGAGCUCGUAGGCGGCCACUCAAGUCGAAUGUGAAACCUCGAGGCUUAACCUCGAGCCUGCAUUUGAUACUGGGCGGCUAGAGUCUGGUAGGGGGAUCUGGAAUUCCUGGUGUAGCGGUGGAAUGCGCAGAUAUCAGGAGGAACACCGGUGGCGAAGGCGGGAUCCUGGGCCAGUACUGACGCUGAGGAGCGAAAGCGUGGGGAGCAAACAGG
rnacentral:rRNA from 1 species